UGCCCCCUCUCUGGGCCUGAGGGGGGUGGAUCUGGUCAUUUCUAAGGCAGGACACAGCCCCUUCUCAGGGUCUGAGGGUGAGCAGACCUGGAGGGGGUUUGCAGGAAGCAGUGUUUGGGGGUGGCUGCAGACUGGCAGGAGCAGCUGGAAAUGAGGGCUGAGGUCACUGAGACUGAGGGGCUGCCAGGAGACGCCACCACGUCAGCAGCCACUGCUGGGCCACUGGGCUGGGAGAGUACGUGGGAGCCCCGGACACGGAGGAGGGAGGCCUGGGACGGGAGCAGAGGUUGGAACCAUACAAACCAGAAAGAGGAGAAAGACGGAACAAAACAAAAUACUGACUGUAGAAAAUCAAUUUCUGGUCAGCCUCCCAUUCAUUCAUUCAUUCAUUCAUUCAUUCAUUCAUUUCACACAUUCACUCACUGUUUAUUCACAGAUUUCCUGAGUUCAGGGGCUCUUAGAUCAUUAGAGAGGUUGAGGCCCAAAGUCAGGAGAUGACUGAUUCCAGGUCACAUGGGGAGUUACUGGCAGGUCUAGAACAAACAGCCCAAGCGCCUGCCUUCUCAGUUAUGCCAAACCGCGGUGCAACUGACAGCCAGUUGUGCGCCUCACUGGCCAGCCCAGCAACCCCUCUGCGCUGUCACCUCCUCGGCGGGGGACCUGGAGAGCCCAGCAGUCCUGCCAGGAACAGCGAUCUCUUUCAGGACAAAACUUAGAAGCCUGGAUGAAGUCUGGUUACAGCAGAACAAGGUAUGGUGAGGGGCUGGGCAUGAAAUGAAGAAUGCAGAGUCAGUUCCAACCUUCUGGAGCUUAUCAUCAGGGAAGACAGGCACAGAAGCAGAUGUGCACACGAGGUGGCGGCCUCGAAGCCGAAAAGGAGUCACAAAGGGCCAACAACCAAAAGAAGGUUUGAAAGGGAAAACAUCCACAUCAAGAAGGAGAUGAAGAGUCUGACGCGUCUCAGUGCCCCUCACCCCAGCCCACCCCCACUUUCUUUAAGCACCAGAAGCCAUCUCUUCCCUUUCCUUCACCAACUCUCCCUUGGGGCCGCUGUCCUCCCAACAGUGAAAAUAAAAUGUCAGACUGUGAAAGUAGACAACUGUU